GUCCAGACUCCUACGGGAGGCAGCAGUGGGGAAUCUUCCGCAAUGGGCGAAAGCCUGACGGAGCAACGCCGCGUGAUCGAAUGAAGGCCUUCGGGUUGUAAAGAUCUGUUGACAGGGACGAAUAAGCAAUGCGAAUAGUUCUGUGUAUGACGGUACCUGUUUAGAAAGCUCCGGCUAACUACGUGCCAGCAGCCGCGGUAAUACGGAGGAUGCGAGCGUUAUCCGGAUUUAUUGGGUUUAAAGGGUGCGCAGGCGGCGUGUCAAGUCAGCGGUAAAAUGUCGGGGCUCAACCCCGGCCGGCCGUUGAAACUGGCGUGCUCGAGUUGGAGAGAAGUAUGCGGAAUUCGUGGUGUAGCGGUGAAAUGCAUAGAUAUCACGAAGAACCCCGAUUGCGAAGGCAGCAUACCGGCUCCACACUGACGCUGAGGCACGAAAGCGUGGGUAUCGAACAGGAUUAGAUACCCCUGUAACU
rnacentral:rRNA from 1 species